rnacentral:rRNA from 1 species
GACGAACGCUGGCGGCGUGCUUAACACAUGCAAGUCGAACGGAAAGGCCCUGCUUUUGUGGGGUGCUCGAGUGGCGAACGGGUGAGUAACACGUGAGUAACCUGCCCUUGACUUUGGGAUAACUUCAGGAAACUGGGGCUAAUACCGGAUAGGAGCUCCUGCUGCAUGGUGGGGGUUGGAAAGUUUCGGCGGUUGGGGAUGGACUCGCGGCUUAUCAGCUUGUUGGUGGGGUAGUGGCUUACCAAGGCUUUGACGGGUAGCCGGCCUGAGAGGGUGACCGGCCACAUUGGGACUGAGAUACGGCCCAGACUCCUACGGGAGGCAGCAGUGGGGAAUAUUGCACAAUGGGCGGAAGCCUGAUGCAGCAACGCCGCGUGCGGGAUGACGGCCUUCGGGUUGUAAACCGCUUUCGCCUGUGACGAAGCGUGAGUGACGGUAAUGGGUAAAGAAGCACCGGCUAACUACGUGCCAGCAGCCGCGGUGAUACGUAGGGUGCGAGCGUUGUCCGGAUUUAUUGGGCGUAAAGGGCUCGUAGGUGGUUGAUCGCGUCGGAAGUGUAAUCUUGGGGCUUAACCCUGAGCGUGCUUUCGAUACGGGUUGACUUGAGGAAGGUAGGGGAGAAUGGAAUUCCUGGUGGAGCGGUGGAAUGCGCAGAUAUCAGAGGAACACCAGUGGCGAAGGCGGUUCUCUGGGCCUUUCCUGACGCUGAGGAGCGAAAGCGUGGGGAGCGAACAGGCUUAGAUACCCUGGUAGUCCACGCUGUAAACGGUGGGUACUAGGUGUGGGGUCCAUUCCACGGGUUCCGUGCCGUAGCUAACGCUUUAAGUACCCCGCCUGGGGAGUACGGCCGCAAGGCUAAAACUCAAAGGAAUUGACGGGGCCCCGCACAAGCGGCGGAGCAUGCGGAUUAAUUCGAUGCAACGCGUAGAACCUUACCUGGGUUUGACAUGGAUCGGGAGUGCUCAGAGAUGGGUGUGCCUCUUUUGGGGUCGGUUCACAGGUGGUGCAUGGCUGUCGUCAGCUCGUGUCGUGAGAUGUUGGGUUAAGUCCCGCAACGAGCGCAACCCUUGUUCACUGUUGCCAGCACGUUAUGGUGGGGACUCAGUGGAGACCGCCGGGGUCAACUCGGAGGAAGGUGGGGAUGACGUCAAGUCAUCAUGCCCCUUAUGUCCAGGGCUUCACGCAUGCUACAAUGGCUGGUACAGAGAGUGGCGAGCCUGUGAGGGUGAGCGAAUCUCGGAAAGCCGGUCUCAGUUCGGAUUGGGGUCUGCAACUCGACCUCAUGAAGUCGGAGUCGCUAGUAAUCGCAGAUCAGCAACGCUGCGGUGAAUACGUUCCCGGGGCU